rnacentral:rRNA from 1 species
UGGGGAAUAUUGCACAAUGGGCGCAAGCCCGAUGCAGCCAUGCCGCGUGUGUGAAGAAGGCCUUCGGGUUGUAAAGCACUUUCAGCGAGGAGGAAGGUGGUGAGCUUAAUACGCUCAUCAAUUGACGUUACUCGCAGAAGAAGCACCGGCUAACUCCGUGCCAGCAGCCGCGGUAAUACGGAGGGUGCAAGCGUUAAUCGGAAUUACUGGGCGUAAAGCGCACGCAGGCGGUUUGUUAAGUCAGAUGUGAAAUCCCCGGGCUCAACCUGGGAACUGCAUUUGAAACUGGCAAGCUAGAGUCUCGUAGAGGGGGGUAGAAUUCCAGGUGUAGCGGUGAAAUGCGUAGAGAUCUGGAGGAAUACCGGUGGCGAAGGCGGCCCCCUGGACGAAGACUAACGCUCAGGUGCGAAAGCGUGGGGAGCAAAACAGGAUUAGAUACCCUGGUAGUCCACGCUGUAAACGAUGUCGAUUUGGAGGUUGUGCCCUUGAGGCGUGGCUUCCGGAGCUAACGCGUUAAAUCGACCGCCUGGGGAG